CCUACGGGUGGCAGCAGUGGGGAAUAUUGCGCAAUGGAGGAAACUCUGAUGCAGCGACGCCGCGUGAAUGAAUAAGUAAUUCGUUAUGUAAACUUCUGUCGCCAGGGAAGAAAAAGACGGUUACUGAGUAAGAAGCCCCCGCUAACUACGUGCCAGCAGCCGCGGGAAUACGGAGGGGGCAGGCGUUAUCCGGAUUUACUGGGUGUAAAGGGAGCGUAGGCGGCAUUGCAAGGCUGGAGUGAAAGGCGGGGGCUCAACCCCCGGACUGCACUGGAAACUGUACGGCUGGAGUGCAGGAGAGGUAAGUGGAAUUCCUAGUGUAGCGGUGAAAUGCGUAGAUAUUAGGAGGAACACCAGAGGCGAAGGCGACUUACUGGACUGUAACUGACGCUGAGGCUCGAAAGCGUGGGGAGCAAACAGGAUUAGAUACCCGGGUAGUC
rnacentral:rRNA from 1 species